rnacentral:rRNA from 1 species
CAGCCGCCACGGGAAUACGAAGGGUGCAAGCGUUACUCGGAAUUACUGGGCGUAAAGCGUGCGUAGGUGGUGGUUUAAGUCCGUUGUGAAAGCCCUGGGCUCAACCUGGGAAUUGCAGUGGAUACUGGGUCACUAGAGUGUGGUAGAGGAUAGUGGAAUUUCCGGUGUAGCAGUGAAAUGCGUAGAGAUCGGAAGGAACAUCUGUGGCGAAGGCGACUAUCUGGGCCAACACUGACACUGAGGCACGAAAGCGUGGGGAGCAAACAGGAUUAGAGACCCCUGUAGUCCCUGUCUCUUAUAC